rnacentral:rRNA from 1 species
CAUGCAAGUCGAACGGUAAGGCCCCUUCGGGGGUACACGAGUGGCGAACGGGUGAGUAACACGUGGGUGAUCUGCCCUGCACUCUGGGAUAAGCCUGGGAAACUGGGUCUAAUACCGGAUAUGAGCUCCUGUCGCAUGGCGGGGGUUGGAAAGGUUUACUGGUGCAGGAUGGGCCCGCGGCCUAUCAGCUUGUUGGUGGGGUAAUGGCCUACCAAGGCGACGACGGGUAGCCGGCCUGAGAGGGCGACCGGCCACACUGGGACUGAGACACGGCCCAGACUCCUACGGGAGGCAGCAGUGGGGAAUAUUGCACAAUGGGCGAAAGCCUGAUGCAGCGACGCGCGUGAGGGAUGACGGCCUUCGGGUUGUAACCUCUUUCAGCAGGGACGAAGCGAGAGUGACGUACUGCAGAAGAAGCACCGCCAACUACGUGCCAGCAGCCGCGGUAAUACGUAGGGUGCGAGCGUUGUCCGGAAUUACUGGGCGUAAAGAGCUCGUAGGCGGUUUGUCGCGUCGUCCGUGAAAACUUGGGGCUCAACCCCAAGCUUGCGGGCGAUACGGGCAGACUUGAGUACUGCAGGGGAGACUGGAAUUCCUGGUGUAGCGGUGAAAUGCGCAGAUAUCAGGAGGAACACCGGUGGCGAAGGCGGGUCUCUGGGCAGUAACUGACGCUGAGGAGCGAAAGCGUGGGUAGCGAACAGGAUUAGAUACCCUGGUAGUCCACGCCGUAAACGGUGGGCGCUAGGUGUGGGUUUCCUUCCACGGGAUCCGUGCCGUAGCUAACGCAUUAAGCGCCCCGCCUGGGGAGUACGGCCGCAAGGCUAAACUCAAAGGAAUUGACGGGGGCCCGCACAAGCGGCGGAGCAUGUGGAUUAAUUCGAUGCAACGCGAGAACCUUACCUGGUUUGACAUAUACCGGAAAGCCGUAGAGAUACGGCCCCCUUGUGUCGUAUACAGGUGUGCAUGCUGUCGUCAGCUCGUGUCGUGAGAUGUUGGUUAAGUCCCGCAACGAGCGCAACCCUUGUCCUGUGUUGCCAGCGCGUAAUGGCGGGGACUCGCAGGAGACUGCCGGGGUCAACUCGGAGGAAGGUGGGGACGACGUCAAGUCAUCAUGCCCCUUAUGUCCAGGGCUUCACACAUGCUACAAUGGCCGGUACAGAGGGCUGCGAUACCGUGAGGUGGAGCGAAUCCCUUAAAGCCGGUCUCAGUUCGGAUCGGGGUCUGCAACUCGACCCCGUGAAGUCGGAGUCGCUAGUAAUCGCAGAUCAGCAACGCUGCGGUGAAUACGUUCCCGGGCCUUGUACACACCGCCCGUCACGUCAUGAAAGUCGGUAACACCCGAAGCCGGUAGC